GCCGUCGUAGUCUAACGGUAGCACACUCGACGCGUAUUCGAGAGGUCCAGGUUCGAGUCCCGGUAAGGGCA
rnacentral:tRNA from 1 species